rnacentral:rRNA from 1 species
AUAUUGUACAAUGGGGGCGACCCUGAUCCAGCCAUGCCGCGUGUGUGAAGAAGGUCUUCGGAUUGUAAAGCACUUCACGUUGUGAGGAAGGGCUUUAGGCUAAUACCCUGAAGUUUUGACGUUACCAACAGAAUAAGCCCCGGCUAACUCUGUGCCAGCAGCCGCGGUAAUACAGAGGGUGCAAUCGUUAAUCGGAAUUAUUGGGCGUAAAGCGCGGUUAGGUGGUUCAUUAAUAUGGGUGUGAAAACCCCGGGCUUAACCUGGGAACUGCUUUCAUAACUGGUGAGCUAGAGUACGGUAGAGGGUAGUGGAAUUUCCUGUGUAGCGGUGAAAUGCGUAGAUAUAGGAAAGAACACCAGUGGCGAAGGCGACUACCUGGACUGAUACUGACACUGAGGUACGAAAGCGUGGGGAGCAAACA